UAAAGGUUGGGGUUACUUAUGGCUCGAUCGCAAGCUAAUACUACUAAUGCUAAUAGAAUAGAAAAGCAAAUGUCCAAAUACUAGGUCUAGUCACGUGGGGUGAACGAUUGAGUAAUGGAAUUUAGUUCGUGAAAUAUAAUCAAAUAGGUUUAAGGCAAUAUUAUCAAAUGGCCAGCACACAACGAAUUAAUUGAUGCAAUUCUAAAAUAAAGAAAUAGCGUCAACUAAAAAUAAAUAGGAUCAGGAACUCCCUGAGUACUGUUGGUUUGAGUCGUCCCAGCGUCGAAUGUCUCCACGCUCUGAACUACUAAGCCCUGAGAUGCCAAGAUAGAAAAUUCCGUGCUCGUCGAGGUGCGGUACUGAACAGUCAACUAAAAUGAACCUGUAAAUGAUGUCAGAAAAAUUAAAAUUCACGAUACUUUUUUUUUUUUUUGACUUUUUUUUUCUCUUUUUUUUUUUUGUCUCUUUUUUUUUUAAUAAUAAUACAAAAUCAGAAUAACAAAAUAAUAAAUGAGCCCAUUUCACAAAUUUGGGCCUAAAUAAC
rnacentral:lncRNA from 1 species